rnacentral:rRNA from 1 species
GAUCCUGGCUCAGGAUGAACGCUAGCUACAGGCUUAACACAUGCAAGUCGAGGGGCAGCAUGGACCCAGCUUUGCUGGGUUUGAUGGCGACCGGCGCACGGGUGAGUAACGCGUAUCCAACCUGCCCUUUACUCCGGGAUAGUCUCCUGAAAGGGAGUUUAAUACCGGAUGUGUUUGUCUUUCCGCAUGGGAGCGACAAAUAAAGAUUAAUUGGUAAAGGAUGGGGAUGCGUCCCAUUAACUUGUUGGCGGGUAACGG